rnacentral:rRNA from 1 species
GGGUUGUGAGGUUAAGCGACUAAGCGUACACGGUGGAUGCCCUGGCAGUCAGAGGCGAUGAAGGACGUGCUAAUCUGCGAUAAGCGCCGGUAAGGUGAUAUGAACCGUUAUAACCGGCGAUUUCCGAAUGGGGAAACCCAGUGUGACUCGUCACACUAUCAUUAACUGAAUCCAUAGGUUAAUGAGGCGAACCGGGGGAACUGAAACAUCUAAGUACCCCGAGGAAAAGAAAUCAACCGAGAUUCCCCCAGUAGCGGCGAGCGAACGGGGAGGAGCCCAGAGCCUGAAUCAGCAUGUGUGUUAGUGGAAGCGUCUGGAAAGGCGCGCGAUACAGGGUGACAGCCCCGUACACAAAAGCGCAUGUGCUGUGAGCUCGAUGAGUAGGGCGGGACACGUGGUAUCCUGUCUGAAUAUGGGGGGACCAUCCUCCAAGGCUAAAUACUCCUGACUGACCGAUAGUGAACCAGUACCGUGAGGGAAAGGCGAAAAGAACCCCGGCGAGGGGAGUGAAAAAGAACCUGAAACCGUGUACGUACAAGCAGUGGGAGCACCCUUUGGGGUGUGACUGCGUACCUUUUGUAUAAUGGGUCAGCGACUUAUAUUCUGUAGCAAGGUUAACCGAAUAGGGGAGCCGGAGGGAAACCGAGUCUUAAUUGGGCGUUAAGUUGCAGGGUAUAGACCCGAAACCCGGUGAUCUAGCCAUGGGCAGGUUGAAGGUUGGGUAACACUAACUGGAGGACCGAACCGACUAAUGUUGAAAAAUUAGCGGAUGACCUGUGGCUGGGGGUGAAAGGCCAAUCAAACCGGGAGAUAGCUGGUUCUCCCCGAAAGCUAUUUAGGUAGCGCCUCGUGAAUUCAUCUCCGGGGGUAGAGCACUGUUUCGGCUAGGGGGCCAUCCCGGCUUACCAACCCGAUGCAAACUGCGAAUACCGGAGAAUGUUAUCACGGGAGACACACGGCGGGUGCUAACGUCCGUCGUGAAGAGGGAAACAACCCAGACCGCCAGCUAAGGUCCCAAAGUCAUGGUUAAGUGGGAAACGAUGUGGGAAGGCCCAGACAGCCAGGAUGUUGGCUUAGAAGCAGCCAUCAUUUAAAGAAAGCGUAAUAGCUCACUGGUCGAGUCGGCCUGCGCGGAAGAUGUAACGGGGCUAAACCAUGCACCGAAGCUGCGGCAGCGACGCUGAUGCGUUGUUGGGUAGGGGAGCGUUCUGUAAGCCUGCGAAGGUGGCCUGUGAGGGUUGCUGGAGGUAUCAGAAGUGCGAAUGCUGACAUAAGUAACGAUAAAGCGGGUGAAAAGCCCGCUCGCCGGAAGACCAAGGGUUCCUGUCCAACGUUAAUCGGGGCAGGGUGAGUCGACCCCUAAGGCGAGGCCGAAAGGCGUAGUCGAUGGGAAACGGGUUAAUAUUCCCGUACUUGGUGUUACUGCGAAGGGGGGACGGAGAAGGCUAUGUUGGCCGGGCGACGGUUGUCCCGGUUUAAGCGUGUAGGUGUGUGUUCCAGGUAAAUCCGGUUCACUUUAACACUGAGGCGUGAUGACGAGGCACUACGGUGCUGAAGCAACAAAUGCCCUGCUUCCAGGAAAAGCCUCUAAGCAUCAGGUAACAUCAAAUCGUACCCCAAACCGACACAGGUGGUCAGGUAGAGAAUACCAAGGCGCUUGAGAGAACUCGGGUGAAGGAACUAGGCAAAAUGGUGCCGUAACUUCGGGAGAAGGCACGCUGACACGUAGGUGAAGUGAUUUACUCAUGGAGCUGAAGUCAGUCGAAGAUACCAGCUGGCUGCAACUGUUUAUUAAAAACACAGCACUGUGCAAACACGAAAGUGGACGUAUACGGUGUGACGCCUGCCCGGUGCCGGAAGGUUAAUUGAUGGGGUCAGCGCAAGCGAAGCUCCUGAUCGAAGCCCCGGUAAACGGCGGCCGUAACUAUAACGGUCCUAAGGUAGCGAAAUUCCUUGUCGGGUAAGUUCCGACCUGCACGAAUGGCGUAAUGAUGGCCAGGCUGUCUCCACCCGAGACUCAGUGAAAUUGAACUCGCUGUGAAGAUGCAGUGUACCCGCGGCAAGACGGAAAGACCCCGUGAACCUUUACUAUAGCUUGACACUGAACAUUGAGCCUUGAUGUGUAGGAUAGGUGGGAGGCUUUGAAGUGUGGACGCCAGUCUGCAUGGAGCCGACCUUGAAAUACCACCCUUUAAUGUUUGAUGUUCUAACGUGGACCCGUGAUCCGGGUUGCGGACAGUGUCUGGUGGGUAGUUUGACUGGGGCGGUCUCCUCCUAAAGAGUAACGGAGGAGCACGAAGGUUGGCUAAUCCUGGUCGGACAUCAGGAGGUUAGUGCAAUGGCAUAAGCCAGCUUGACUGCGAGCGUGACGGCGCGAGCAGGUGCGAAAGCAGGUCAUAGUGAUCCGGUGGUUCUGAAUGGAAGGGCCAUCGCUCAACGGAUAAAAGGUACUCCGGGGAUAACAGGCUGAUACCGCCCAAGAGUUCAUAUCGACGGCGGUGUUUGGCACCUCGAUGUCGGCUCAUCACAUCCUGGGGCUGAAGUAGGUCCCAAGGGUAUGGCUGUUCGCCAUUUAAAGUGGUACGCGAGCUGGGUUUAGAACGUCGUGAGACAGUUCGGUCCCUAUCUGCCGUGGGCGCUGGAGAACUGAGGGGGGCUGCUCCUAGUACGAGAGGACCGGAGUGGACGCAUCACUGGUGUUCGGGUUGUCAUGCCAAUGGCACUGCCCGGUAGCUAAAUGCGGAAGAGAUAAGUGCUGAAAGCAUCUAAGCACGAAACUUGCCCCGAGAUGAGUUCUCCCUGAGACUUAGAGUCUCCUGAAGGAACGUUGAAGACGACGACGUUGAUAGGCCGGGUGUGUAAGCGCAGCGAUGCGUUGAGCUAACCGGUACUAAUGAACCGUGAGGCUUAACCUUACAACGCCGAAG